rnacentral:rRNA from 1 species
GACGAACCGUCCAAACGUUAUUCGGAAUCACUGGGCUUAAAGGGUGCGUAGGCGGUGCGGAAAGUUGGAUGUGAAAGCCCCCGGCUCAACCGGGGAACUGCGUCCAAAACUGCCGUGCUUGAGUGAGACAGAGGUGAGCGGAACUUAGGGUGGAGCGGUGAAAUGCGUUGAUAUCCUAAGGAACACCGGUGGCGAAAGCGGCUCACUGGGUCUUAACUGACGCUGAGGCACGAAAGCUAGGGUAGCGAACGGG